rnacentral:rRNA from 1 species
AGUGAACGCUGGCGGUAGGCCUAACACAUGCAAGUCGAACGGCAGCACAGAGGAGCUUGCUCCUUGGGUGGCGAGUGGCGGACGGGUGAGGAAUACAUCGGAAUCUACUCUGUCGUGGGGGAUAACGUAGGGAAACUUACGCUAAUACCGCAUACGACCUACGGGUGAAAGCAGGGGAUCUUCGGACCUUGCGCGAUUGAAUGAGUCGAUGUCGGAUUAGCUAGUUGGCGGGAUAAAGGCCCACCAAGGCGACGAUCCGUAGCUGGUCUGAGAGGAUGAGCAGCCACACGGGAACUGAGACACGGUCCAGACUCCUACGGGAGGCAGCAGUGGGGAAUAUUGGACAAUGCGCGCAAGCCUGAUCCAGCCAUACCGCGUGGGUGAAGAAGGCCUUCGGGUUGUAAAGCCCUUUUGUUGGGAAAGAAAUCCAGCCGGCUAAUACCUGGUUGGGAUGACGGUACCCAAAGAAUAAGCACCGGCUAACUUCGUGCCAGCCGCCGCCGUAAUAC